GGGGAAUCUUCCGCAAUGGACGAAAGUCUGACGGAGCAACGCCGCGUGAGUGAUGACGGCCUUCGGGUUGUAAAGCCCUGUUAAUCGGGACGAAAGGUCCUCUUGCGAAUAGUUAGAGGAAUUGACGGUACCGUAAGAGAAAGCCACGGCUAACUACGUGCCAGCAGCCGCGGUAAUACGUAGGUGGCAAGCGUUGUCCGGAAUUAUUGGGCGUAAAGGGCGCGCAGGCGGCUUCUUAAGUCUGUCUUAAAAGUGCGGGGCUUAACCCCGUGAUGGGAUGGAAACUGGGAAGCUCAGAGUAUCGGAGAGGAAAGCGGAAUUCCUAGUGUAGCGGUGAAAUGCGUAGAUAUUAGGAGGAACACCAGUGGCGAAAGCGGCUUUCUGGACGAAAACUGACGCUGAGGCGCGAAAGCCAGGGGAGCGAACGGGAUUAGAUACCCCGGUAGUCCUGGCCGUAAACGAUGGGUACUAGGUGUAGGAGGUAUCGACCCCUUCUGUGCCGGAGUUAACGCAAUAAGUACCCCGCCUGGGGAGUACGACCGCAAGGUUG
rnacentral:rRNA from 1 species